ACCAGAACAUGACAGCACAUACUGCAAGUAAACAAGCCGCGGAUCGUCGAAUGAACAAGACCGUGAUCACGAUAAUCCUCGUUUCGCUCGCGUGCUACCUGCCUCAGUUUUGCGUGCUCGUUUUCCUAAGCGUGCACGAACGUACCGUAUGGCAUACGCGUUUCGUCAUUCCUUGGGUGUACCUCGUGCUGUUUGCGACAGCAGCUUUGAACCCGUUCGUGUACUGUUGGAAGAAUCGGCGUCUGAGGAACGAGAUGGCCAAGUUUACCUCGCGUGUAUUCAGGAGAAAACCGCGCACCUAUGAGAACAACAGUACGGUAUCGAGUACACCCAUGUCGACAAACACAUCAAAAGUUUGAGGCUUUCAGUCGGCGAACAAGAAGAACAGAUCUGGAAACUUGGAUCCUGUCCUUGUUUUUUUUUUCAAAAGUUCCUCAAAUAAGCGCAUGCAAAAACAAUGUAAAUUUGACAGUACGUUACACAAUUAUGUGCGCAACGCUAAAGU